rnacentral:tRNA from 1 species
GUCCGGUUAGCAAGUCUGGUGAUUGCGCUGCGUUGAAGGCGCAGACAGGUCGGUUCGAAUCCGACGCCGGGCGCCA